rnacentral:misc_RNA from 1 species
ACAAACUUGGUCAUUUAGAGGAAGUAAAAGUCGUAACAAGGUUUCCGUAGGUGAACCUGCGGAAGGAUCAUUAUCGAUAUGAUAGCAAUCAUCAUAAACCAUGUGUGCAGUUAUUGAGAAAUCCAAAGAAGGGAAAGUUUUUUCCCUUUUUUUUUUUAUUUUUCACAAUAUUAUAUUUUGUCGUUAUGAUAUUUUAAAUAAAACAAAAAAACUUUCAACAACGGAUCUCUUGGCUCUCGCAUCGAUGAAGAACGCAGC